rnacentral:rRNA from 1 species
UACCAGCACCCCGAGUGGUCGGGACGAUUAUUGGGCCUAAAGCAUCCGUAGCCGGUCCUGCAAGUCUUCCGUUAAAUCCAGCUGCUCAACAGAUGGGCUGCGGGGGAUACUACAUGGCUGGGAGGCGGGAGAGGCAAGCGGUACUUUAUGGGUAGGGGUAAAAUCCGUUGAUCCAUAGAAGACCACCAGUGGCGAAGGCGGGU